AAAAGAACAACAUGCGAGUUUGGAGCGACAUGAGAGCCUGUCAGUCAGAGGAGGAUCUCAGGUGCACGCCGGUGUCGCCGUAUCCCACAGAUUCGCUCGAGAGGGCGGGUAGUUGAAGUGUGCCACAAUGGAAAAUGCACUACCCGUGUCUUCAAACAGACUUUAGUGCGCUGGCAGAUUGAACUGAUGUGCAGUUUCCUUUUAAACUUUCUUUUACAAAG